CUAUGCGCACAUAGAGGUUGUUGAGGAACCUAUAAUUCCAUUAUCUGCAGGAUGCUGUUUCUCUCACCACGUAGCACAAUGCAGUACUAAAUGACUGGCUUACUGUAAGGAUAACAGCAGCACACACGUAGUGCUGUCUGCUAAGUCCUUAGGCUGAGAGUCUGGCUAAGAGAUAGAGAAAAGAGACAACUGGCAUGUCUGAUAAGCAGUCAGCCUGAAACAUCAUUGCUUCCUUGAAGUUUCUUGGACUUUUCUUAUGCACCUGGAUGCAGACUGAGUCAAUAUGUCUGUGUCUAAGCUUACCCAGACAGACCAUGAUCUUCAAACUGGUUUAAACCAAUUUCAAAUUAGAGUUUUAGCUGCCAUUUUCUCUUUGUUUGUGAGUUCUUCUUUUACUCACAAGUGUUGCAGAACAGUUUAUCUUAAAUGUGUGAAAGUGCACUCCAUUUAACCCCACUGAAAUUAGUGUAUUGACCACAUCUGUUGUGAAAUACAGAACUUUUGCAAAGAGCAAUUUUAUUGCUUAUAAACACACGAAGUAUUUAUAGUAUUUUAUUCUAUGCCACAAGAAUGUAUUAAAAAAAAAAAAAAGUAAAUUGUGAUUCUUUUCAAGGCACCAACAAUUAAUAACAACAUCACAAACAACAAUUAGAACAACAGCAACAUCUCAAGAUUUUGACUCCCUGAAUUUUCACUUAACAUUUUUCAGGUGAUCUUCGUACUGAUUGUCCAUGGAAAUGAGUAACUGGUCAUUUAUUAACUCCAUUUCCUUGAAGGGAAUUUUGGUGCCCCGGACUUCUGACAGGCUUGUGUUACUCAUCACAGAUUGUGUGCUUAAAGGCAUAGAUGCAGAGAAAUGCUGACUCUACAGCUUUGGUACUUAUGGAUACUUUGGUUCUUAUGGCAAAGGGCAAGAGAGAAGUUACAGGCACAAAGGUUAAGGCUGUUGAAUGCAAAGACUUCUACUGUAGUGUCCUUUGAACUAUCUCCUGGAGAAAGAAAAGAGGGGAAAAAUGGGAGGCAGCAGAUUACCAGAAGGAAGGUGGUUUCCAAUUCAUGAGGUACUUGAUGCACUGUGAGUAUAAUGGGAACCUGUAUGGAAAGAAUGAGCUUCAUCUGAACCAAGCUUCUGGCCCUGAAAAGCAAGGCUCUAAAUGAGCUUUUAAGCUGAUUAGCAUAGGAAAACCAAUAUGUAUGGGAGAGCGCAUGGUUCCGGAUGGCGUUUCCCAUUAUGUUUCAUGUUUCACACAUGAAUUCUCUGUCCUCAAAUUAAGAAUCUGGAGAAGGAUGAAAACCAUCAAGCAUAAAGUGGACAGCACAGGCAGUUGAAACAGAGUGCCAAAUAGUGAAGCAGAGCAUCAACACCUGUACUUAUACACAAGUGUGAGAAGACAAAGAAAUGAGAUGGAGGAAUUGCUAUGUUUAGCUGUCAGUGAAGACACUGUCUUACAGGGAACUCUGAAGUAGGAAGACAAUUGAUUAAACACUGAAAUAUAAACACAGAAUAUACAGAAAAUAUAGAAAAAAAAACACAUACUGGUGGUACAGUAGCACUGUUUUCAUGGACAAUUUAGAAUCAGUUCACAGGAACAAACUAACACCAUCAGUGAAUACCAAAGAACUCAUUUGAUCUGUUUGGAUCGAGAUUCAGACCCAAAAAGAAGCAUAUAGUCUGAUCGCCUGCUUCUCUACUGACCUGGGUGGCAGCAGGAGAUCAGACUUAGUGAGGGCACAGGACAUAAAUGUAAUUGGAUUCUCCAGUUGCCAUAAAAAGUAGGCAAAUGUAGCACAGGGACAUGAAGCUGGACCCACAUUUUUAGAAACCAUUGGUGAUUACUUCAUGGAAGAUUGAAAUUACCACCCUGAUGAACCACCACUUAGCUUCAGCUAAGGACAAAAAUAUAUAACAUCCAGAGAGUUGUGUUAACAUUCAACAACAGAAGAGACCAUUAAAGGAUUACUGCAAGCAUCUGUGCAUUUUUCAAUAUAUCCAGAAAUGCUCUGGAAAGAGGCUAAGAAGUGAAAUGCCUAAGUUUGCUGAUAAUACAAAGUUGUUUACG
ensembl:lncRNA